UGGCGAACGGGUGAGUAACACGUGGGCAACCUGCCCAAAAGAGGGGGAUAACACUUGGAAACAGGUGCUAAUACCGCAUAACCAUAGUUACCGCAUGGUAACUAUGUAAAAGGUGGCUAUGCUACCGCUUUUGGAUGGGCCCGCGGCGCAUUAGCUAGUUGGUGGGGUAAAGGCUUACCAAGGCAAUGAUGCGUAGCCGAACUGAGAGGUUGAUCGGCCACAUCGGGACUGAGACACGGCCCAAACUCCUACGGAAGGCAGCAG
rnacentral:rRNA from 1 species